rnacentral:rRNA from 1 species
AACGAACGCUGGCGGCAGGCCUAACACAUGCAAGUCGAACGCCCCGCAAGGGGAGUGGCAGACGGGUGAGUAACACGUGGGAACCUUCCCUAUAGUACGGAAUAGCCCAGGGAAACUUGGAGUAAUACCGUAUACGCCCGAAAGGGGAAAGAAUUUCGCUAUAGGAUGGGCCCGCGUAGGAUUAGCUAGUUGGUGCGGUAAUGGCUCACCAAGGCGACGAUCCUUAGCUGGUUUGAGAGAACGACCAGCCACACUGGGACUGAGACACGGCCCAGACUCCUACGGGAGGCAGCAGUGGGGAAUAUUGGACAAUGGGCGCAAGCCUGAUCCAGCCAUGCCGCGUGAGUGAUGAAGGCCUUAGGGUUGUAAAGCUCUUUUGGCGGGGACGAUAAUGACGGUACCCGCAGAAUAAGUCCCGGCUAACUUCGUG